AUUGAACGCUGGCGGCAGGCCUAACACAUGCAAGUCGAGCGGAUGAAGAGAGCUUGCUCUCUGAUUUAGCGGCGGACGGGUGAGUAAUGCCUAGGAAUCUGCCUGGUAGUGGGGGAUAACGUUCCGAAAGGAACGCUAAUACCGCAUACGUCCUACGGGAGAAAGCAGGGGACCUUCGGGCCUUGCGCUAUCAGAUGAGCCUAGGUCGGAUUAGCUAGUUGGUGAGGUAAUGGCUCACCAAGGCGACGAUCCGUAACUGGUCUGAGAGGAUGAUCAGUCACACUGGAACUGAGACACGGUCCAGACUCCUACGGGAGGCAGCAGUGGGGAAUAUUGGACAAUGGGCGAAAGCCUGAUCCAGCCAUGCCGCGUGUGUGAAGAAGGUCUUCGGAUUGUAAAGCACUUUAAGUUGGGAGGAAGGGCAGUAAGUUAAUAGCACAGCAUUUUGACGUUACCUACAGAAGAAGCACCGGCUAACUCUGUGCCAGCCGCCGCCGUAAUAC
rnacentral:rRNA from 1 species